rnacentral:rRNA from 1 species
AACAAACGCUGGCGGCGCGCCUAAUACAUGCAAGUCGAACGGGGAAAGCUUUCGGGUGAGUACUAGUGGCGCACGGGUGAGUAACGCGUGGAUAAUCUGCCUUAGAGUGGGGGAUAACUAGUCGAAAGAUUAGCUAAUACCGCAUAAGACCACAAGAACUGCGGUUCAAGGGGUCAAAGGUUUUUCGCUCUAAGAUGAGUCCGCGUAAGAUUAGCUAGUUGGUAGGGUAACGGCCUACCAAGGCGACGAUCUUUAACUGGUCUGAGAAGAUGAUCAGUCACACUGGAACUGAGACACGGUCCAGACUCCUACGGGAGGCAGCAGUAGGGAAUAUUGCACAAUGGAGGAAACUCUGAUGCAGCGACGCCGCGUGAGUGAUGAAGGCCUUCGGGUCGUAAAGCUCUGUCGCAGGGGAAUAACACAAUGAAGGUACCCUGUAAGAAAGGAUCGGCUAACUUCGUGCCAGCAGCCGCCGUAACAC